UACGAAGGGGGCGAGCGUUGUUCGGAAUCACUGGGCGUAAAGAGUGCGUAGGCGGCGAUAAAAGUUAGAAGUGAAAGCCCAGGGCUCAACCCUGGAAUUGCUUUUAAAACUAGAUUGCUAGAAUUCGGGAGAGGAUAGCGGAAUUGUCAGUGUAGCAGUGAAAUGCGUAGAUAUUGACAGGAACACCAGUGGCGUAAGCGGCUAUCUGGACCGACAUUGACGCUGAGGCACGAAAGCGUGGAGAUCAAACAGG
rnacentral:rRNA from 1 species